UACGGAAGGGGCAAGCGUUAUUCGGAAUCAUUGGGCGUAAAGGGCGCGUAGGUGGUUCUGUAUGUCUACCGUGAAAGCGUACGGCUCAACCGUAUUUUGUCGGUGGAAACUGCAGGACUUGAGGCUGGGAGGGGCUGGUGGAAUUCCCUGUGUAGCGGUGAAAUGCGUAGAGAUGGGGGAGAACACUCGUGGCGAAGGCGGCCAGCUAGACCAGUUCUGACACUGAGGCGCGACAGCGUGGGGAGCAAACAGG
rnacentral:rRNA from 1 species